UACGGAGGGUGCGAGCGUUGUCCGGAAUCACUGGGCGUAAAGGGCGCGUAGGUGGCUUAGCAAGCGUGUGGUGAAAGUCCGGGGCUCAACCCCGGAUCUGCCGUGCGAACUGCCAGGCUUGAGCAAUGUAGAGGCAGGUGGAAUUUCGGGUGUAGCGGUGGAAUGCGUAGAUAUCCGAAAGAACACCAGUGGCGAAGGCGGCCUGCUGGGCAUUUGCUGACACUGAGGCGCGACAGCGUGGGGAGCAAACAGG
rnacentral:rRNA from 1 species